rnacentral:lncRNA from 1 species
UUGUCCACUCCCUUCUGACUUCCUUAAAGAGCUGAGUCCUUGGGGGAAAAGAACAGUGGAUUCAAAGCACACUCAGAAGAGUGGGUAACUCUAGAACAGCUGUCUUGCCUUGAAUCAUCAGGCUCCAGGAAUAAAAUCCAUUCCCUUUAUGACUGUGGGUAGUAAUGGCACAGCCAGCCUCACUAUGGGAUCACAGGCAAGAAAAAUAACCUUCCCUUUGCAAUUCUGAUUUUACUUAUUAAACAGAAAAUUCAUGGCUAGUUGUCCCUGAUAGGUGUUUGCACACGUGGGUGGAACUAAGACACACACACACACACACACACACACACACACACACACACACACACACAAAUGUGUUCAUUACCUUGGAAAGAAGGCAGUGACUAUUUCCAUGUAGACCAUUCCUACUUUUUAUUAUUACUGAUUCACCAAUUGAUAUCUUUCCUUCCCUUUGUGGAGGGCAAUUUCCAUACUACUUUUUUCUUUCUAGUUUCCCAAAUUCCUUUUAUGUCUUUGCUCCUGUUCUGUUCCUGCCACUGAUGGACCUACCCUUAAAAGAGUCCGCAAAGCCUAUUUGGUUCCAAAUCCAAGAAGCAGUCAGAGCCACGGGCUGUGAGGAGCAAGACGCCAUAGCUAGAUGGUACUUGGGUUACCAAAAUGAGAGGCUGCAAUCCCACUUUCAGCUCAGAAGGGCUGUGUGCAACGACGGCCCCACAGCCUCCUCUGUAGUCCAGUUAGUAGGUUCAGUGGUGCUUUCCUGGCCCAGCUGGCUUACAGGGGGCAAAGCAGCCUGAUGUAGAGCUCGACAGAGCUUGGGCACAGUCACCUUCAUGGAUGGCAGUCACAAAUACUUACUGAGAGACAACCUCAUUACUAAGUACUGGUCUGACCCAAGUCGGCCCCCACUUUCAUCUACCUUUAUAGUGCGGGGCAGCAGCUUUCAUUUGUGGAGCCUGGAGCUGAACAGACAGGGUUUGAGUUUGCCUACAGUAGCAGAGGACCAGCCCAGGCAGAGACCCUGUUGCCUGAGGAGGGAGGGAUAGUCAUACUUAAUCGCUGCCAUCCAGACCCUGGCCAGGGGUCUCCUCAGGCAAUAGAUGACUCUACUAGGUCGGUGCCAGCUAUAAAGGAGCAGAACCUCUCACCAGAAAGUCUGAGUGCCCAGAUGGAACUAAACCCUAGUAUCAGGGUUUGACUUACCUCCAUGUCUCCCUCAUUCUUUUUCUUGAUGAGAGUUCAUUUUCUCAGCCCGUCUCCUACCCUUCAUCUUACUUCUCUGACACAUCCUUCACUGAACUUUCCUACAGUCUCUCUCUCCUCCCCCCUCCACUUGCCUCCACCAUUUACUCUAUGCAGAGUAGACACAGUGGGCAUUCCUGUUAGUGAUGAAAACAUCGGACUCGGUUUGAAGGCCGGAUGGAAAGGCUGGCUCUGUUACUUUCUAGUGUGUGACCUUGGGCAAGUUAUUUGCCUGCCUGAGCUAAGUGCCUUCAUCUGUGAAAUGGAGACAAGUGUGGCAAUUACUUUCACUGGGUAAAUGAAGAUUAAACAAGGAUAUAAGUUCUUGGUAUGGUGGAUAGUACAUAGUAGAUAAGCAUCCCAGUAAAUGACUAUUGAAGUGGAUGAAUGAAACCUGAGUUCUCAUC